ACUGCCCCACGUGAUCAGCAGGAUGGGCAGCAGCGAGGUGGUGGACGUGAACCUCUUCUGCCUGGUAGCCAUGGACUUCUACCGGCACCAGAUCGACGAGGAGCUGGACCGACGCGCCUUCCAGUCGGUGUUCGAGACCGUGGCCUCCCCGGGCACCUCCUACCACCAGCUGCUGGGGUGCCUGCAGUCCAUCCACCACGACACCUCCCUCUGAGGGGGGAGGAGAGGGGGAGGAGGAGGAGACAACGCCUCCCUCUGAGGGAGGAGGGAGGGAGGGUAGGGGAGAGUGAGAGUGAAAGGAAGGAGGGAGGGAGAGGGAGGAGGAGGAAUGAAGGUAGAGAGACUGGUCACAUGUGAACACCUCACUGAAGUAGACGCGGCCUCCCUUUGAUGGGAAGGGAGGGAUUAGAGGGUGGGAGGGGGGAGGACCGAUGGAAGAGAACAGAUCACAUCCCCGUACACCUCCCUGAUGAAGAGAGGCUCCACCUCCCUCUGGUCAAGACGAGAAUGUUGAAUUAGUCCCCCUCUCCUUCCUCCCUCUCUCCCCGCCCCAGAGCCUCGCGCCGUGACUCCCCGCACACUAAUCAGCGUAUCUAAGGCACCGUGCUGACGUCAGACACUGUAGCGAUGAGUCAACCACCGGCCCAGGCGUGCACUAGAGAUUCCCGGGGUUAGACGGUACGCUCUGACUUCCUGUGUGGUUAGCUGAGAUUUGAAGCAGCAGGUCAGUUUGUGUUGAGACUGGGAGCACGUUGCUUGCUGAUCUAUGAAAUGCACUGACCCGGGUUCCUUUAACUGUGAUGUCCACUACGACAUUUCUAUAGAUCCGCAACAUAACACUUCACGUUCCCGCGGUGAAAUCGACCGAGCAUAUUAAUUAUAUAACAAACUGGAUUUGUAUAUUUUCCUGUGAGGACGUCCUUAUUCAUUGCAUCGAGUUAAGUCGAAACAUAGAUUCAUUCUGAGUAAUUACGAUAUUUAAAGUGCCGAAAUGUCUAUUUUUGUGUGUGCUUUGCUAGAGGAAGCGAAUACAUGAGAUGCAAAGCAGGGAGAUGCCUGCUGUGAAAUGUGAUCGGCUUGUUAUUAUUAUCUAUGGUUGAGGUUGUAUAUUUGUAUGUUGUGCGCCCUCACUCUGAUUCCCAACAUGAACGAGCUCAGAGAGACACUUUGUAAGCAGAGGUUUUAUGUAUACUUUAAAGUCAAUGAUCACCUAUAGCCAUAUUAUGUUCCGAUUAUCGUUAGGGAUUACAGAUUCCAUGUCCCUUAAAGAUGGCCCAAGGAUGAUUGUGGUGUCUGGGCGCUGGGUUUUAGACUGACAUCUAGAGGAAGGUUAGAAGAGUUGUACACACGCAAACUACAUUUUUAGUUCUGGCCAAGGCCUAAAAUAGUUGUGGGGGCCAGGACCGCGAACCCACUCCCUGAGGCAGAACACAUGGACUUUUGCUCGUGUUUUGUUGCAUCAAAGUCUCGUCGGAGCCGACGUGCGUUAGUGUCUGACCCGCCCAUUGGUUGUGUUUAUGAUUUUUUUUAAUUCUCAGGAUUUAAGAUUUCAAUGUUAUUGUUGUGAUAAGAAUGGAAACGUGUGUCAUCUUUUUAAUGGAGUACCUUCUUAUGCCAUGUACAAAAAAGAUUCCACGUUAAUUGUAAAGUGACACACACACAUGAUUGUAAAGUAAUAUAAAAAGCCAUGUUGCAUGACCCACUUGUACUGUCUAUAGAUGUACCAACUACGAAUAGACGGUAAGGUUACACGAUGCAUCACUGUCAUGCUCCCGGGCCGAAUCGAACGACCGACAGAAGACCGGGGAUUGCACUUACGACGACGGUUAUACUUGCUUCUUCCAUUAUCACUGGUUUGUGAGCUGCCUAGAAACCUUCACCAUAGACUCCGUUUACGAAGCGUGUGUGAGUGUGUGUGUGUGUGUAUAGAUGUACAUCCCAACUUGUACAGUGGCGCUUGCAGACGCAUGCAGACUACGUUGUCACAGUGGUUGAUGUGUUGUCUCGGUCCACUGGUGGUUGUAGUGGUUUCUCAGGGCGAUGGUUGCAAUGGUGGACCGUGGAACGGAUGCAACUCGCUCUUUUGUGACCGACUACAGCUUUAGACAAAUCAACAGGUGAGGAGUUUUAGCGAAGUAUAAUCAUAAAGAAAAAAGGACACGUUUGUCUACCUUUUCGAUAGUUUUUCUUUUUGACUAAAGCUUUAUUUUAGUUUUAUGAAAGACGAUUUGUGCUACAGAGAAAAAUUAGUAUACAGAACUGGUCUCUCCUUCGUUAAAACUUGUUUACUUUGGGGAAGGGUUGGGGUUGGGGGGUAAAACACGACUUUACAUGAAGAUUAGUUUCUGUGCUUCACACAUUAUGACGUGACAUUGAUGCGACCGAUUGACUUUGAUCAUGGUAAUAAGAUGAUGUAUUCAAAUAAUAAAUAAAUCAUCCUCUAUGCUUGUUAGUUCGUGUGUCUCACUUUAAAAAUGGUAAGCUAUUGAAUGGCAUUGGUGUGAUAAAAAUAUGUUUAUUUUUAAUCACGGAAGUUAGUGAUUCAAUUGGGGACAUUAUCUAAACUAUAAGAUGGAUGGCUAGAUAGAUAACAUUGCAUAUGAAAAAAGAGCCAGAUGUAGAUAUAAAUAAAUAAACGUGUGUGUGUGUUGGGAGAGAGAAAGAGUCACAAUAGAUGUUGUCUGCUGGCUGUGGGGACAAAGGAUAGUAAAUGUCCAGACAGUUUUAGAAUGCUUGGAUUGCUGUCCAUUUUAACUGGUUGUGAUUCAAUAACGUUAAUGGUACAUAAUGAAAUUAAGGCCUCACUUGUAUACCAUCUACUUCUUUCCAUCCACCCAGACAUCUGCUUAUGUACAUUCAGCCGUAGGUUGCUAAUGUUAUGCAAAUGUUGGUGUGUCGGCCUCCUUGUUUGUUCAACACUUCAUUAAGAGCCGUGACUCCAUCAUUAAACCCUAUUAAUAGGAUUAGCGGGCAGCUGCCAUAUGGCCCCUUAAGCAUACACUCUGUUACCCUACACUUACAGACAAGAUGGGACAGACAACUGGACUACAUGCUGCUUAAUAACAGCUAGUGGGUAGAAUCAGAACUCAAGUUCCACCAAUGUGUUCCGAUGGCACUACAUACGUUGUGUUUGACCCUUUGAAAAAUGAUAUUUAAUAAAAUAAGAAUCAGUCUAACUUGGUUGAUAAAAGUCUCAUUAAGGCCCU
ensembl:lncRNA